rnacentral:rRNA from 1 species
GACAGAGGGGGCAAGCGUUUUCCGGAGUUACUGGGCGUAAAGGGCGCGUAGGCGGCGCGUAAAGUCGGACAUGAAAUCAUUAGGCUUAACCUGAUGGCUGUGCCCGAUACUUACGUGCUUGGAGUGCGGGAGAGGCAAUCGGAAUUCUCGGUGUAGCGGUGAAAUGCGUAGAUAUCGAGAGGAACUCCGGUGACGAAGGUGGGUUGCUGGACCGACACUGACGCUGAGGCGCGAAAGCUAGGGGAGCAAACGGG